rnacentral:rRNA from 1 species
CUGGCGGCGUGCUUAACACAUGCAAGUCGAACGGUAAGGCUCCAGCUUGCUGGGGUACACGAGUGGCGAACGGGUGAGUAACACGUGGGUGACCUGCCCUGCACUUCGGGAUAAGCCUGGGAAACUGGGUCUAAUACCGGAUAGGACCGCACCGUGAGGGUGUGGUGGAAAGUUUUUUCGGUGUGGGAUGGGCCCGCGGCCUAUCAGCUUGUUGGUGGGGUAAUGGCCUACCAAGGCGGCGACGGGUAGCCGGCCUGAGAGGGUGGACGGCCACAUUGGGACUGAGACACGGCCCAGACUCCUACGGGAGGCAGCAGUGGGGAAUAUUGCACAAUGGGCGGAAGCCUGAUGCAGCGACGCCGCGUGGGGGAUGACGGCCUUCGGGUUGUAAACUCCUUUCACCAUCGACGAAGGGUUUCUGACGGUAGAUGGAGAAGAAGCACCGGCUAACUACGUGCCAGCAGCCGCGGUAAUACGUAGGGUGCGAGCGUUGUCCGGAAUUACUGGGCG